CACGUGUUCGGCAACCGAACAAAGGCCACCCAGCAUUCAUCAAUUAAGCUGCGGUUAACCGCAGCUUCUGGGCGGUCAAUUGACGGCACCAUCCAUCGUUCAGUAGUUUGUUCAGUGGAUGGAAUCUACCGAACACCCUGGCAGAAAGGCACGAAUAAACCUUUCAGCAGGGAAAAUAACAGGUUUGAACUGCAGGGCCAUAGUCUAAAGGGAGCAG